ensembl:lncRNA IQCF4P IQ motif containing F4, pseudogene
AGAAGUACAGACCUGAGUAUAAUGGAGACCUCUAGCCUCUAAUCAUGGGCACUAAAGGGGAUUGCAGACUUGAAGGGAUUGAACCAACUACUGCAAGUCAUGGGCAUUCAAUGUUUUGUAAGAGACAACCAGUCAAUUCAAAGAUGCAGGCAGGCGGAGGUGAAUUCCCACAGUUAAUCAGGAUGCAAGCCCUGUGUCUGGGUCUCUGGGAAAGCCAAGAGGUUAAGGAUGUGGUGAACUUGGCUGAAAACUGGGUAUCCUGCAGGCAAUACAGACACAGGGGAUUCAGUCACAGUGAGGGAGAGUGCCUUGAGUUCUACAAAUAACUACCUAUCCAUACCUCACCUCUUUAAAAUCUGAUUACAGAAGGAUGGCCAUGUUCGCCAAAGCAUAAUGGAAGAUGUUGAUGAAACCGCACUGUUGAAACAAAUGGAGCGGGAGAAAAUGCCUCCUCCUCCAAAGCCAAAGGAAACGUUUGUGAGUGAAAGGUGUUGCUAUUAAUCCUUACUCAGGAACAACCACCAUAAACCAAGAAUAUCCCAGGCCAACAAGGACAUAGUCGUUGUAUUCAAAG